rnacentral:rRNA from 1 species
AUUGAACGCUGGCGGCGGGCCUAAUACAUGCAAGUCGAGCGGAUAAAGGGUGCUUUCCCCUGGCUUAAGCGUCGGGCGGGUGUGUAAUGUAUAGGAAUAUGCCUCGUUGUGCUGAAUAACAUCAGUUAGCGAGCGCUAAUACCACAUCCGACCUGAACUUGAAAGUGGGGGAUCUUCGGACCUCUCGCUAUCAGAUGAGCCUACGUCGUAGUAGCUAGUUGUUGGGGUAAAGGCGUACCAAGGCGGCUAUCCGUAACCGGUCUGAGUGGAUGAUCAGUCACACUGGAACGGAGACACGGUCCAAACUCCGACGGGAGGCAGCAGUGGGGAAUAUUCGACAAUGGGCGAAAGCCUGAUCCAGCCAUGCCGCGUGAGUGAAGAAGGGCUUCGGAUCGUAAAGCACUAUAAGUUGGGAAGAAGAAAAGUAUGUUAAUACCGUGCUGUUUUGACGGUACCUACAGAAUAAGCACCGGCUAACUACGUG